CAUCACCAGCGGUGAAUAGUCUCAUCCUGUGCUGGUGGGCGAUACUUUCUUCUUUCGGAAGCAUCUAGCUGGUAAGGUAUUCCGCGGUAUACCUCCUACUUCCAGAAACCAUGAGGUUCAGCACUGUAGUAGUGCCCCCCGUUAUCCUUCUGCUGUGUGUGGCUGGUGGGUAUGGCGCUAGUUACAAUAGCCAGUACGGGGGAAAAGGAGAAAGUUAUAAUAACCAGUAUGGAGGAUAUGAAGUUAGUUACAGUGACCAGUAUGGAGGAUAUGGAGCUGGAAACAACCUUUACAGCGGAAGUCAAUACGGCGGUCAGGGCUACGGGCUAUAUGGGCCUAGCCUAAAUAACAUGAAUUCAUAUUCACCUAUCUACUUGCCUCCAGAACCACCGGUAUCUACACUGUACAGGGAACGUGUGCUAAUCUUUUUAGCCAUACUUCUUAUUCCCAUACUGGGGUCUUCUACCUUAGGAUAGAGGAUGUGGUCUGUCGGGAAAAUCCAAAAUGGACAAUGAUGCUGUUUUAGACUUUUCCUGGUUUCAAGAAAGGAUGCGCCGUCAUCAAAACUUUAAAUUAAAACCAAGAUUUUGUGUCAAUAAAAAUAGUUUGCUGCAAAAAU